GGUGAGAUGGCCGAGCGGUCUAAGGCGCCAGACUAAGGCUUUCAAGCUUAUCUGGUCUCUUCGGGGGCGGGAGUUCGAAUCUCCCUCUCAUCA